rnacentral:rRNA from 1 species
CCUACGGGAGGCAGCAGUGAGGAAUAUUGGUCAAUGGGCGGGAGCCUGAACCAGCCAAGUCGCGUGAAGGAAGAAGGUACUUAGUAUUGUAAACUUCUUUUGUCGGGGAACAAAGGCGGAGACGCGUCCCCGGAUGAGUGUACCCGAAGAAAAAGCAUCGGCUAACUCCGGGCGAGGAGCCGCGGUAAUACGGGGGAUGCGAGCGUUAUCCGGAUUUAUUGGGUGGAAAGGGUGCGCAGGAGGGAGAGAAAGUCAGCGGUAAAAUGUCGGGGCGCAACCCCGGCCGGCCGUUGAAACUGGUUUUCUAGAGUUGGAGAGAAGUAUGCGGAAUGCGUGGUGUAGCGGUGAAAUGCAUAGAUAUCACGAAGAACUCCGAUUGCGAAGGCAGCAUACCGGCUCCAUACUGACGCUGAGGCACGAAAGCGUGGGGAUCGAACAGGAUUAGAUACCCUUGUAGUC